rnacentral:rRNA from 1 species
AGCGAACGCUGGCGGCAGGCUUAACACAUGCAAGUCGAGCGGACCUUUCGGGGUCAGCGGCGGACGGGUGAGUAACGCGUGGGAACGUGCCUUCCGGUUCGGAAUAACCCUGGGAAACUAGGGCUAAUACCGGAUACGCCCUUAUGGGGAAAGGUUUACUGCCGGAAGAUCGGCCCGCGUCUGAUUAGCUAGUUGGUGGGGUAACGGCCUACCAAGGCGACGAUCAGUAGCUGGUCUGAGAGGAUGAUCAGCCACACUGGGACUGAGACACGGCCCAGACUCCUACGGGAGGCAGCAGUGGGGAAUAUUGGACAAGGGGCGCAAGCCUGAUCCAGCCAUGCCGCGUGAGUGAUGAAGGCCUUAGGGUUGUAAAGCUCUUUUAUCCGGGACGAUAAUGACGGUACCGGAGGAAUAAGCCCCGGCUAACUUCGUG